AUAAAAAAAAUUAUUUUUUUUUAUUAUGAAAUUAGUCUUUAUUUUAGUAUUUAAUAUGGAAAAAGUUUAUUUAUUAUAGUUUAUUAGUAAUGUGAUUGAAUUUUGAAAUAUUAUUUAUAUUUGAAAAAGAAGAAUUUUAUUUUCGUACCUUGUGUAUCAGGGUUGAUUAAAAAUUGAUUUUUUAUAUAGUUUUCCCGAAUCAGAAAGAGCUAAUUUGAUAUUGAUUUAGUUGUAUAAUAAACUUUUUUAAUAUUUAAUUUGAAAUGAAACGUUAUUCGUUUUCUGAUAUAUCUGGUUUUUCAAGAAAUGAAUUUAAUUCAAUUGUUAAUUAAUUAAUCUUCUAUUGUUGAUUUUAUUUUUGUUAACAUUAAAUAUUAGGUGGGAUGAGCUUCUUAUUAUUUGUUUAAAAAUUUUUUAGUUAUUGUUGAUAAGUAUAAUUAGAAUUGUUAAUCUUUAGAAUAAUUUUAUAAUUGAUUUUUUUAUAUAAAUUAUUUUUAUUUUGUUUAAAUUUGAUAUUGAAAUUUUUUCAUUAAUUUUAAUAGGAAAUUAAUAAUGAUUAAAUUAGUAAAAUUUUAUUUAUUUUGUUAAUUGAUUUUGAGGUUAAGUUAAUGAAUUCGGCAAAUUUAUUUUCCGCCUGUUUAUUAAAAACAUGUCCUUUUGAAUAUAAUUUAAGGUCUAAUCUGCUCAAUGAGGAGUUAAAUUGCCGCGGUAUUUUGACCGUGCGAAGGUAGCAUAAUAAUUAGUUUCUUUAUUGGAAGCUGGAAUGAAUGAUUGGACGAGAAAAUUACUGUAUCAAUUUAACUUUUUUUUGAAUUUAACUUUUGAGUUAAAAGGCUCAAAUUUAAUUUAAAGACGAGAAGACCCUAUAGAGUUUAACAUUAAUAUUUAUUAGAAGUUUUUGGUAUUUAUUGUUUUGAUUAUUAUUUUUGUUUAGUUGGGGUGACUAGAAGAUUAAAUUAACUCUUCUAAUUAUUUUGUUACUUAUUAGUAAUUAUUGAAUCUGGAAUUUUCAAGUUUAAUAUAAAUUACCUUAGGGAUAACAGCGUAAUUUCUCUUUAGAGUUCUUAUUGGAAGGGGAGUUUGCGACCUCGAUGUUGGAUUAAAAUUAAUAUUGGGUGCAGAAGCUUGAUUAUUAAGUCUGUUCGACUUUUAAAAUUUUACAUGAUCUGAGUUUAAACCGGUGUGAGCCAGGUUGGUUUCUAUCUUUAAUUAGUUAAUACAUUUUAGUACGAAAGGACCGAAUGUAUAAUAAAUUAUUUUAUGUUUGAAUUCUAUUA
rnacentral:rRNA from 1 species